CCUACGGGAGGCAGCAGUGGGGAAUAUUGGGCAAUGGGCGCAAGCCUGACCCAGCAACGCCGCGUGAAGGAAGAAGGCUUUCGGGUUGUAAACUUCUUUUCUCAGGGACGAAGAAAGUGACGGUACCCGAGGAAUAAGCCACGGCCAACUACGUGCCAGCAGCCGCGGUAAUACGGAGGUGGCAAGCGUUAUCCGGAUUUACUGGGUGUAAAGGGCGCGUAGGCGGGACUGCAAGUCAGAUGUGAAAUCCAGGGGCUCAACCUGUGGCCUGCAUUUGAAACUGUAGUUCUUGAGUGCUGGAGAGGCAGGCGGAAUUCCUGGUGUAGCGGUAAAAUGCGUAGAUAUUAGGAGGAACACCAGUGGCGAAGGCGAUCUGCUGGA
rnacentral:rRNA from 1 species